GAUGGACGCUGGCGGCGUGCCUAAUACAUGCAAGUCGAGCGAAUGGAUUAAGAGCUUGCUCUUAUGAAGUUAGCGGCGGACGGGUGAGUAACACGUGGGUAACCUGCCCAUAAGUCUGGGAUAACUCCGGGAAACCGGGGCUAAUACCGGAUAACAUUUUGAACCGCAUGGUUCGAAAUUGAAAGGCGGCUUCGGCUGUCACUGAUGGAUGGACCCGCGUCGCAUUAGCUAGUUGGUGAGGUAACGGCUCACCAAGGCAACGAUGCGUAGCCGACCUGAGAGGGUGAUCGGCCACACUGGGACUGUGACACGGCCCAGACUCCUACGGGAGGCAGCAGUAGGGAAUCUUCCGCAAUGGACGAAAGUCUGACGGAGCAACUCCGCGUGAGUGAUGAAGGCUUUCGGGUCGUAAAACUCUGUUGUUAGGGAAGAACAAGUGCUAGUUGAAUAAGCUGGCACCUUGACGGUACCUAACCAGAAAGCCACGGCUAACUACGUGCCAGCCGCCGCCGUAA
rnacentral:rRNA from 1 species